GACCUAAACUCUUAAUUAAUUAAGGGCAUGGUCGACAAACUGAACAAACAUAGAGAUGGCCAUUCCGUCUCUGGUAUUGUUUGUUCAGUCUGUAGUCGAAAGGCUACUGGACAUCGAAAGGUGUC
rnacentral:sRNA from 1 species